UCCUUCCGCCUCGGCCUCCGGGAGUGCUAGGAUUACAGGCCUGAGCCACCGCACCUGGCUGUUUUUGUCUGUAUCUUGAUGGCAAAACCAAGCUGUUAAAAUACCAGGCCGCAGCCUCUGAUUUCAUCUCCUACAUGUCAGUGUGACUCUUGCUUUAAAUAUAAUUGUCAUUUAGGAGCCACCUCUCUGGUGUGAAUUAAGGGAUAUCAGACAGGCCUCUGGCACCAAAAUAUCCACCCAUCAUCAUUGCCUUUGAUCUAGGAGGCUUUUGUAGGCGACAGAUUUCCCUUGGAGAAAUUUAUGCUCUGAGGCGUUACCCAGGGACUGCAGCCUGGUUCGCUAACCCACAGUGGAGGGCAGGAGCCUGUGAGAGCCAGGGGCCACCGUCACACACACUCCACUGUGCAUUGCAGGGCCCCUUGGAGAAUGGAGGGGGAAGACGCAGGGGUGCAGGGACAGCCACUGCCUGCUCCCUCCCCCAUCUCUCUGAGGCCCACUCACUGUCCCCCUGCCCUGCUCUCUUCCUCCUUGCAGGCCCUCGGGUGAGAAGAAGCCUCCGGAGCCCAAAGCCAUGCCAGACCUCAACGGGUACCAGAUCCGGGUGUGAGGCUGGUGCCAGCAGCCCGGGCCUCCCCUGCCCCCAGGGGCCAGGAUGCACCUGCUGGAACCAGCUUUGCUCGCAGGGCAGAGAGGCUGGUGUUGGGGCAGGGCGAGCGGCCGCAGGGAGAGUGUGUUCCAGCUCAGCCCCUCAAGCUGCUCCCCGCCCCGCCGAGCUGAGCCCCCUAACUUUGGGCCGAGAGGCAAUUAGUAUUUUAUUUGGAGUUUUAACUCUACAACUGAAGAUUAAGAUAUUUGGGGAAAAUGUAAAACAAAUGAAUCUGCUGAGGCCUGGAAGGCAGGUGUGUAGGAGAUCAAUGUGCCACGGGUCUGGGUGAGGAGGGGUCGCUGGUUCUGCUGGUGCCCCGGCGUCUCUCUGGGGUUUAGGUGCAUCCUGUCUGUGGGAAGUGUCCCAGCCUUCCCAGGCCUGGGGUGCAGGCUGGGGGAUGGAGCUGUUUCUCCAGUUCUGCCUGCUCUGGCAGAAUCUUGACCCAGGGAAAGGGAAGCUGGAUAGGAAUGGUCCUUAGAAAGGUCUUCCUGGCCCAUAAAUCAGGACUUGGCACAGGCCCUGUCUGCCCCCAGAGCAGGAGCCCCUGGCCCAGGAGAGGCUUCAGGCCCUGUGGCUGCCAUGGGCAGUGCUGUGUGGGCUGACGCUGCCUGGCAUGGCCCCAUGCUUGGGGAGCACUACUGGAGGGCCCAGGGGAGCACAACUGGGCACACAGUUCCCAGGCCCCUAACGGGUCUGCUUGCCCAGUCCCAGCUCUGCCCGUUGCUAGAGCCCAGGGGCUCCCUGUGGAGGUUUCUGGGAUUUGCAGAGAGCCCAGAGUUGCACUGGGAUCGCCAUGACUCUGGGCAUUGCAUGGGUCUGGGCACCAGCCAUGGAGCUGUGGCUGGGACAGGGUGAUGGGCUGGAAUACUCGAGUCUGGGUCUUCCCUGGCAGUGCCAAGAGCGGGUUCUGCUGGGGAAAUCAAGACCAGACCAGGAUAUGUGUGCCCCAGGCCUGCCUCCCCUCCUGAAAUCACCCAUUUUAGCUUGGAGGUUGCAGUGACAGGCCUGUCGCUGCUCGUGGCAGUUCUUCAGAACCUGAGCAGCUGGGGUUCCCCACAGCCCGCCAUCGGCACGAGAGACCUGGUGGGGAAGUGAGAGGACUCGGAGAGAGGCUGGCAGAGCUGGGAUGUGUAGGGCAAGGGUGCAGCGUGGCCGCUGAGGAGGGACAGAGCCCGAGGACUGGGGGGUGUAAGUGAGAAAGGGAUGUGGGAGGGAGUUGAGGGUCAGGCUGCCUUGACGGGUAGGGAGUUCCCUAUGGCAAAGACUAGUUGGUAAUUGUCAGGAAGCUGGAGGGAGGAUUCAGGUUGUGGAAGGGCAAAUGGAUGAGAUGCCCGUUAAGGGUUUGCUGAGAGAGGCUGAGUUGGCCAGAGCAGCUCUGCAGGGCUGCAGAGGGGCCAGGGGCCCGCAGAAGAGAAGGUCAGAACUAGGCUGUGAAUGCAAAUGUCCACAGGGAUGAAAAGGAGGACUGCAGGGCUGGGUGGGGACUGUGGCUAACUCACGAGGACAUGCCCCAUUAAAGGGCUGCUGCUGCCCAGCUGUUCUCACAGUGCCAGCCCUGCAUUACCAGAGUGGCUGACAUUUCAGAGGCCAGAAUUCUGAAUUUUUAUGUGAAAUCUGAUUUUUAAAUGUUGGUGAUCAGUUCAAAAAAAUGUAAAAACCCAUUACAGGGGAAAGUGAAUGCCAAUUUGCAGUAUCUGAAGUAGAGAGAGCUUGUGCUAGGGAGAAGCCACUGAGAUGCUCUGGUAUGUACAAAAGCUCUAAGUUUCCCAGAGCCAGGCUGGGCCAGGAGAGGGUCCUUGCAGCUGAGGAGGAGGAGAAACGCCACCCUGGCUCCUCCCUGAGUCUUCGCUCUUCCUGCAGCCCAGAGGCAAACUCACACCCUUUGCAGUUGCUGGGUCACGGGAGGGGUGGAGUGGAUCAGAGACAGUGCAGCUCUGGGCCCACCAGGGAGGCAGAGGGUGCCUUCCAAGCAGAGGAAGAGGAAGGGAGCGAGGAGCCGGGGAUGCCUCUGCGGAUCAGAGUGCUGGCAGGGCAGGCGCCACAGGCUGGCAGCUCUUCCAUCCAGCAGCUCUCAGCCCAGAGCCAGGCCCAGCAGGGCUUCGCCAGAGAUCAGUCCCUUGCCUCACCAGUUACUCAUGGGGUUGGUGUAAACCCCCCCACACACACACACCGAGGGGUAUGGGGACCCCGGACUCGCCAUCCUGCCUCAGCUUCCCGGGAGUGGGGAUGGCGCGGUCCCCAUGUGCCCACGCAGGCUCACCUUGGGAGGUGAGCCUGAAACAAGGUCCCUUCUGGGUCUCCAGGCCACUCAUCGGCAGGGGCGUGGCCUUGGCUGCCUCUGGGAACUUCCCGGGAGUGACAGGGUGAGGGGAAGAAGAUGUGACAGGGAGCUGCUCCUGAUUCCGAGUCCUAGAAGGAGGCUCUAACCCACAGGCUCCUUCCCCGGCCGGCCGUCCAGGGCGAAGGCGAGUGAAUCCCUACCCGCUUGCGGUGUGCCCCCAGCGGACAACCCCAGCACUCACCCUUCCCGAGCUGAGCCCUCGGGCCUGUGGUGACACCACAGGACAUAGCGGUGCUUUUUAAUUUAUUUUUAACUGUUUUUCAUAUGUAGCAACCCCUCCUCCCCUCCUGGGCGUGUUUACACAGGCUCUGCUCCCCUAGGCUGGCCUGGCUGCAAGGUUUCUGGGCAGGCAGAGAGGCAGGGACUUUGGGGCCUUAGUCACCAUCCAUGGUAUCACCUCAUCUCACAUCCCAUGAGGGACAGGGGCCUGGCUGAUGGGACCCCGGCGCCCCCUGGCUCAGGACUGCUUCCAGCCCCUCUGCCCCUGCGCGUGGGGGCUGCUGGCUGAGGAGGGGCCAAGGCGAGGUCCGAGAAAGCUGCCUGGGGAAGCGGGCCAGGCUGGGGGGUGACUGCAGGGUCUCCCACAGCCUGGCUCCUUAUGCUCAACGCCAGGGAUGGAGCGGGGGCGCUGGGCUUUGCCAGCCUUCCUGUGCACCUAACUCACUGCCAGGCCUCCCCCCACAGCCUUCCCGCAAUCUCCUGUCCCCUCACCCACCAUGCCAGCCAGCCCAGCCUGGCUUGGGUGCAGCCAAGUCGGGAAACAGCAGCCCUGUGGUCCCUCGAUGCAAUGGUAAAGCCUGGGGCCAGGGUUUUAAGGAGCAGAAAGAGCCAAGAAAUAACCAUGUCUCAUUUCCAGCCCUUUCUGUCAUCUCAUGCCCCCACCCCUUCCAGCUUGGCCUUGACUUCUGGCUCUGGGAGUCGGUGGCAUUCUGGCUGGUGGAGCGCCCAGAAGCCUGUGUGCGCGUGUGCACCUGGUUCUCCUGCCUGGAGUGAUUUCUGGCUUGGCCCACCCUCUGCACUGUGUCCUUGGCUGCGCUCAGCCUCCCUGGGCCAGGCAGGGCUGCUGUGGUGCUAGCUGUGAGCCCGUCAGUGUUGACCUCUCACUCCAUCUUGGUGCUCCGGAGCCCCAAGUUUUCCUUCUUCGAGUCUGACGAGAGAAGAAACCUGGGUGUGCUUGGCCUCUGGGGCCUGGUGAUGACGGGCCAUCUCCUCCCUUACUUAGGCGUUGUGCUGGCUGCAGUGUUGUACUAGCCUGUUCUGUUCUCGUAUCAGUAUUACCCCCUCCUUCACUUUCACACUUUGUCUCAUUCCUGUUGUCACUUUCCCCUGUGAAAUGAAUAAAGUCUCCCCAGCUCCAGUUGCGUGGGCUGGGCAGAAACUACAACACGUAAGCUCUGUCUCCUUUCCUUUGGGACCUGGGGCCCCAGCCCACACCCACCCUACAGUUCAGCCCCAUUGCCCUGGGAAGUGCCUGGCCUGAGGGAAGGGGAGCCUAAAACCAGGGGACGAGAAACCUCCCAGCCCCUGCAGUCAUGAAACUUCGGGGCUGGGCUUUCAUUCCCAGGCGGUGAAGCCACUGGGUUCCUGUGAACCCUGAUCUCCCUCAGGGAGCAGCAGGCCCCACCCACCUCCGCCCGCAGUUGUCUGUACCCAGGAUGCAUCCCGAGCCCUGCUCUUCCAGUCCUGGUCCACAGCAGUCCAGGAACAAAGGAGAAAGGGGAAUGUUCUUCCGGGAGAUGAGCUAUUUCAGGAAACCAUAGCAAUAGGGACCCAAAGUCCCAUCACGGUGGCCCAUCCAGAACCCAUGGUGCUUAAUGCCAUAGCUCUGGAAAACACCUGUAGGUCUACCCACCAACCCCUCUCUUCCUCCCCACUGACCCUCCGGCUGUAGACCUCUUCCCACACUUUAAGAUGAGCCCAAACAGUUGAAAGCAGACUUGCAUGGAAAAUGUCCUUUAGACCCCACAGCAUGUUUCAGCCUUAACCUUUCCUGUCCACAUCUCUGCUCUCCUUUCAUUCAACUUAAGUGUAAAACCCAGACUUGUGAGAGGAGGUAGGACACUUCCUACUUCUCAUUCCUGCCAACCCCAUGAAGUCCUAGCUAGAAGUGUCACUGAGCAUGCAAGACUCCAUUGCGGUAGUGUGGUGGUGACCAGGGGGUGGGGGCAGGCCAUCUGUUGGGAUCCAUGAACAUCUGGGACCAUACACCAUCAAGUAUGAGGCAGUUUUAUUAUAGGCUCAUUUAAAUCCAGCUAAAACGAUAGAGCCUUUCAAUAAAGGCAACCAGCAUCUGUGACUACCUCAGAUUGCACACCCUUUCAUAAAGUCAGUGUUGGAAUUGCAUUUAAAUUCAGCUAAAACGAUAGCCAAGUAAAGGGCCUCAUGGGCAAGCUUCAACGAGAGGGGCUCGUACACGGCGGACUCCAGCCUGCUCUCGCACAAAUGAGGGCUGGGUAAGUGCUGGGACGAGAAUCCGCAUCACGAAUCAAGCGGGCUCAUCGUGGAAACUCUUGGCCACUUACUUAGAACGUAGAAGUGGAUGUCAACGCAGGCUCCUGGCAGGAUCAGAACCCAGCUUGCGGCAGGUGGGGAGUUACCUCAUUUCCUGCUAUACAUUUGUCAGGCUCACUGCACGUACUUGCCUGAUUUAGGCAUGUUGCUAAAUUGGGUUAGACGUUUAGAUGUAGGUGGCCCUUCUCAGACCUUAGAGAACUUCAACCCAUUUCUUCAGGACUGAGAAGGCCCAUCUGCCAGGAUCUGGCAUUUUGAUGACUACUGUGGAGGGCAGUAGUGAGAGGAAGGAGUCGUCAUACCAAGGACCAGGAGACUGGCCCAGAUGUGGGCUGCCUGGUAGCCCAGGGGGGUGAGGGGAGGUAGCUGUUGAGGAGGCCUCACAGGUUGGUGGAGAUGGGCCACCUCAGGUCAGCUGGAGGGCCAGCACUCUGAGCCUAGCCCACAUGACAGUGUGCACACAGGUACAUGAAUUCUCUACAACCCCUAGCCAGAAAACUUGGUCAUGGGAAGCAUGAAAUCUCCAAGAAUUUAAGUGUAGACUCCACCCUUCUCUGCACAGCUGCCUUAGGCCCCAGGCCCUGGGAUCACAGGCACUAACUACAGAUGGGGCAAAGGGCAGAGUUCCCUUCAAAACCCAUGAAAUUCACCCUCUCCUGAUCCCAGCAGAUCUGCACCCCUACAAGCUCUCAUCUGGCUGGCCCUUGCCUGGAACAGUUUUGUCUUGCACAUUUGCUGGUGGGGAGAGGAGAGGCGGGAUGUCUGGGUGUUGGGCGCCCAGGGCCAUGGGGCAGCGCCCCCUGGUGGAAACCAGAGGUGGACCCUCCUCCUCCUGGGAGAAAAGCUGCACUGCAUUAUGCAGCCAAUCAAAAACCAACCCUCUGGGUUUUCAGCUCCGAGGAGGCCAAGGUGCAACUUUCUUCGGUCGUCCUGAAUCUGGGUUCAUCCGACACCAGCCGCCUCUACCACACCACCUAAGUUUGACCCCAAAAGAGAUCAAAGUCCUGUACCUGAGGUGCACCGGUGGCAAAGUUGGUACCCUGGCCCCCAAGACUGGCCCCCUGGGUCUGUUUCCAAAAAAGGUUGGUGAUGACAUCGCCAAGGCAACUGUUGACUGGAAGGGUCUGAGGAUUAUAGUGAAACUAGCUAUUCAGAACAGACAGGCCCAGAUUGAAGUGGUACUUUCUGCCUCUGCUCUGAUCAUCAAAGCCCUCAAGGAACCACCAAGAGACAGAAACAGAAAAACAUUAAACACAACGGAAAUGUCACUUUUGAUGAGAUUGUCAACAUUGCCAGACAGAUGCGGCACCAAUCUUUAGCCAGAGAACUCUCUGGAACCAUUAAAGAGAUCCUGGGCACUGCCCAGUCUGUGGGCUGCAAUGUUGAUGGCCGCCACCCACAUGACAUGAUAGAUGACAUCAACAGUAGUGCAGUGGAAUGCCCAGCUAGUUAAAAAGUACAAAGGAAAAUAUUUCAAUAAAGGAUCAUUUAACACGAAAAAAAAAAAAAAAA